rnacentral:rRNA from 1 species
AUUGAACGCUGGCGGCAUGGCUAAAACAUGCAAGUCGAACGAGCCCGCAAGGGCAAGUGGCGAAAGGGUUAGUAAUACGAUCGAAUGUACCCUGAGGUGGCGGAUAGUCGUGGGAAACUGCGGGUAAUACGUCAUGAUCUCUCCGGAGCAAAGAUUUAUCGCCUUGGGAGCAGCGAUCGUCCUAUCAGGUAGUUGGCGGGGUAAUGGCCCACCAAGCCGAAGACGGGUAGCGGGUGUGAGAGCACGGCCCGCAACAUCGGAACUGAGACACUGUCCGGACUCCUACGGGAGGCUGCAGUAACGAAUCUUCCGCAAUGGGCGAAAGCCUGACGGAGCAAUGCCGCGUGUGGGAUGAAGCGCCUUCGGCGUGUAAACCACUGUCAGGGAACGGAACCAAUGAUUGUUCCCAAAGGAAGUGGCGACUAACUCUGUGCCAGCAGCCGCGGUAAGGUGACGCUCU